CAGGGAUUGCCCUAGUAACGGCGAGUGAAGCGGCAACAGCUCAAAUUUGAAAUCUGGCCUUCGGGUCCGAGUUGUAAUUUGUAGAGGAUGCUUUUGGUGCGGUGCCUUCCGAGUUCCCUGGAACGGGACGCCAUAGAGGGUGAGAGCCCCGUCUGGUUGGAUACCAAGCCUCUGUAAAGCUCCUUCGACGAGUCGAGUAGUUUGGGAAUGCUGCUCUAAAUGGGAGGUAUAUGUCUUCUAAAGCUAAAUACCGGCCAGAGACCGAUAGCGCACAAGUAGAGUGAUCGAAAGAUGAAAAGCACUUUGAAAAGAGGGUUAAACAGUACGUGAAAUUGUUGAAAGGGAAGCGCUUGCGACCAGACUUGGGCCCGGUUAAUCAUCCAGCGUUCUCGCUGGUGCACUUGGCCGGCCCAGGCCAGCAUCAGUUUGGCGCGGGGGAUAAAGGCUUCGGGAAUGUGGCUCCUCCGGGAGUGUUAUAGCCCGUUGUGCAAUACCCUGCGCUGGACUGAGGUUCGCGCAUCUGCAAGGAUGCUGGCGUAAUGGUCAUUAGCGACCCGUCUUGAAACACGGACCAAGGAGUCGUCCUCGUAUGCGAGUGUUCGGGUGUCAAACCCCUACGCGUAAUGAAAGUGAACGCAGGUGAGAGCUUCGGCGCAUCAUCGACCGAUCCUGAUGUUCUCGGAUGGAUUUGAGUAAGAGCAUACGGGGCCGGACCCGAAAGAAGGUGAACUAUGCCUGUAUAGGGUGAAGCCAGAGGAAACUCUGGUGGAGGCUCGCAGCGGUUCUGACGUGCAAAUCGAUCGUCAAAUAUGGGCAUGGGGGCGAAAGACUAAUCGA
rnacentral:rRNA from 1 species